rnacentral:rRNA from 1 species
CGGCAACGGCCCAAAACUCAAAGGACUUGGCGGUGCUUUAUACCCUUCUAGAGGAGCCUGUUCUAUAAUCGAUAAACCCCGAUAAACCUCACCAUUUCUUGCUAAUACAGUCUAUAUACCGCCAUCUUCAGCAAACCCUAAAAAGGAACAAAAGUAAGCACAAUCAUAGUAUAUAAAAACGUUAGGUCAAGGUGUAACCUAUGGAAUGGAAAGAAAUGGGCUACAUUUUCUAUCAUAAGAA